ACGAACGCUUGCGGCGUGCUUAACACAUGCAAGUCGAACGGAAAGGCCCUGCUUUUGUGGGGUGCUCGAGUGGCGAACGGGUGAGUAACACGUGAGUAACCUGCCCUUGACUUUGGGAUAACUUCAGGAAACUGGGGCUAAUACCGGAUAGGAGCUCCUGCUGCCUGGUGGGGGUUGGAAAGUUUCGGCGGUUGGGGAUGGACUCGCGGCUUAUCAGCUUGUUGGUGGGGUAGUGGCUUACCAAGGCUUUGACGGGUAGCCGGCCUGAGAGGGUGACCGGCCACAUUGGGACUGAGAUACGGCCCAGACUCCUACGGGAGGCAGCAGUGGGGAGUAUUGCACAAUGGGCGGAAGCCUGAUGCAGCAACGCCGCGUGCGGGAUGACGGCCUUCGGGUUGUAAACCGCUUUCGCCUGUGACGAAGCGUGAGUGACGGUAAUGGGUAAAGAAGCACCGGCUAACUACGUG
rnacentral:rRNA from 1 species